AUUGAACGCUGGCGGCAGGCUUAACACAUGCAAGUCGAGCGGAGCGAGGGUGCUUGCACCUUAGCUUGGCGGCGGACGGGUGAGUAAUGCUUAGGAAUCUGCCUAUUAGUGGGGGACAACAUUCCGAAAGGAAUGCUAAUACCGCAUACGCCCUACGGGGGAAAGCAGGGGAUCUUCGGACCUUGCGCUAAUAGAUGAGCCUAAGUCGGAUUAGCUAGUUGGUGGGGUAAAGGCCUACCAAGGCGACGAUCUGUAGCGGGUCUGAGAGGAUGAUCCGCCACACUGGGACUGAGACACGGCCCAGACUCCUACGGGAGGCAGCAGUGGGGAAUAUUGGACAAUGGGCGGAAGCCUGAUCCAGCCAUGCCGCGUGUGUGAAGAAGGCCUUUUGGUUGUAAAGCACUGUAAGCGAGGAGGAGGCUACCUGGAUUAAUACUCUAGGAUAGUGGACGUUACUCGCAGAAUAAGCACCGGCUAACUCUGUGCCAGCCGCCGCGGUAAGAC
rnacentral:rRNA from 1 species